rnacentral:lncRNA from 1 species
UAUAUUUUGGGGCUGGGUGGUGGACUGUAUGGGCUUUUAUAUAUUUUGGGGCUGGGUGGUGGAUUGUGUGGCCUUUUAUAUAUUUUGGGGCUGGGAGGUGGAAUGCGUGGGCUUUUAUAUAUUUUGGGGCUGGGUGGUGGACUGUGUGGGCUUUUAUAUAUUUUGGGGCUGGGUGGUGGAUUGUGUGGGCUUUUAUAUAUUUUGGGGCUGGGAGGUGCAAUGUGUGGGCUUUUAUAUAUUUUGGGGCUGGGAGGUGGAAUGUGUGGGCUUUUAUAUAUUUUGGGGCUGGGUGGACUUUUAUGCAUUCUUUUACAGUCCCUUGAUCCGGGAUUGCACAUGCUUGUAGAUGGUGGAUCAGGUAAAUUCCCUGCUAUAAAGCCCACCUUAUCGCUACUCAUUUCU